UAGAAAACACUUCCAUAUAAUUUAAAAUAAUUUUAAUGUAUAUAAAACUAAUUAUAUUGACAUUCAAAAUAUUACGGAAGAUCGUUCUGUGACGUCAGGCGACCCGUGACUACAACUUGACGAUUCAAUGUAGCGACUCGGUGGUUCACUAUAGUGACUCAGCAGUUCUUCUCUAGAACCGGGUGACUCUGCGCACAGUGGAAUCGACACGGGAUGAUCGAUUCCCGUGUCGACUCGGCGAAUCCGUUUUGACUCACGGUCUUUUAAAACACUGGUUUAAACACUAAAAUGUGUAACUUAGUGUCACUAUUUUGUGGUGAAACCCCUUAUAAAAUCAUUUGAGAGUUAAACAUCCCCGUUAAUACUAUAUGCGUUAUUUUUAAAUUUUCGUUUAACUCGAGUACCAUCUCAAAAAGUAUCUUAAAAAAUAACAAAUAGUCAUUCUUCAUAGUUAGGAACAUUGAACAAGCAAAGGCAUUUAUUUAGUAAUUUGAAGAGGCCCUAUUCAAAUGAUGAGAGCACCCUUGCUUGAUUAGGUCAAAUUACUGAAUUGUCCGUAGUAGCUCAAGAUUCACCUUGAAUAGAGACAAUUUUUGUAUUUUUAAAUAUAAUUUUUGACAAUGUGCCUAAGUAAAAUAAAAAUGAAAAAUUAAUUGAGAUCUUUUCGAACCACCUCAUAAUAAAAUUUGUCCUUAAAUAAUACUAUCCCUAAUAUCUAAUAGAAAGCCUUUUGAAGAGGACAAUAUUAAGAAGAGUGGGGAAAAGGAGGCUCCAAAACUAGAGGGCUCCAGCAUUACUUCCAUUAGCAACCAUCUUUUUUUUACAAAUGAUGUCCCAACAAAAGGAAUGUCAUUUAGAAAGUAGACAAGAAGACCCUGUUUGGACCACAUCUCUAAUGCACCAAGUUCUACGCCACCGCUUGGGAACUCAUGCCAAUAAAUAUUUUUUUUUAAACAAUAACUCAUGGCAAAAAAUAUUGCAUUACCUACUAGCUCAUCCAAUUUUAACCCAUUCAUUAGGACAUUCAUGAUAUACCUUUAAUAGUAAUGGGUUGUUUUCAUAGCUUUGUGA
rnacentral:lncRNA from 1 species